rnacentral:misc_RNA from 1 species
GAUGAAGAACGUAGCAAAAUGCGAUAAGUAGUGUGAAUUGCAGAAUUCAGUGAAUCAUCGAAUCUUUGAACGCACAUUGCGCCCGCCAGCAUUCUGGCGGGCAUGCCUGUUCGAGCGUCAUUUCAACCCUCGACCUCCCCUUGGGGAGGUCGGCGUUGGGGACCGGCAGCACACCGCCGGCCCUGAAAUGGAGUGGCGGCCCGUCUGCGGCGACCUCUGCGUAGUAAUACAGCUCGCACCGGAACCCCGACGCGGCCACGCCGUAAAACACCCAACUUCUGAACGUUGACCUCGAAUCAGGUAGGACUACCCGCUGAACUUAAGCAUAUCAAUAAGCGGAGGA